rnacentral:sRNA from 1 species
AUGGAGUAUUUUCAUUGCCCCAGUCAAUUUCAUUCUUUAUAAAAGACUUGUCUUCAGAGAACAGAUUGUGCUGCAGAUUCAUUGAAGUAGCAUGUGGAGGGGGAAGAGCUCUUUAAGUCUGAGUUGAAUCUAGUGAUUCUCAAGAAAACAGACCAGACCCUUGAAGAUUUUCCUGUCUUUCUCUCUUAGGGGACCAGUCAGCCAUCAAUGAACUCAUGCAGAUGAGAUUGAGGUCUGGGGGCACUGAGGGUCUCUUGGCUGAAAAAUUGGAGGCUUUGAUCACUCAGACUCGAGCCAAACAGGCAGCUACCAUGAGUGAAGUGGAGUGGAGAGGGAGAACGAUUCCAGUGAAGAUUGACAAAGUGCGCAUUUUCUUAUUAGGACUGGCUGAUAACGAAGCAGCUAUUGUCCAGGUGAGG